UACGAAGGGAGCUAGCGUUGUUCGGAAUUACUGGGCGUAAAGGGCGUGUAGGCGGUCUUAUAAGUCAGACGUGAAAUCCCCCGGCUUAACCUGGGAACUGCGUCUGAUACUGGGAGGCUUGAGUAUGGGAGAGGGAUGUAGAAUUCCAGGUGUAGCGGUGAAAUGCGUAGAUAUCUGGAGGAAUACCGGUGGCGAAGGCGGCAUCCUGGACCAUAACUGACGCUGAGGCGCGAAAGCUAGGGGAGCAAACGGG
rnacentral:rRNA from 1 species